UGGUUUUGUCCUAAGUCGAACUUUGCUAGCUUUGACCAAGGUUUUAGAAAAUAAUAUUAACACCUACAAGUUCAAAUAAAUAUACACUAUCAAAAUAUAUUUCAUGGAGAAUUUAAUGAAACUAAUUCAAGAUUGUCGGUAUUGGUGCGUUUUUCCAUAAACUAGGUCAAAGUUAAAGUAGUUCGAAUUAAGACAAAGCCAA
rnacentral:pre_miRNA from 1 species